rnacentral:rRNA from 1 species
UACGUAGGGGGCAAGCGUUGUCCGGAUUUAUUGGGCGUAAAGAGCGUGUAGGCGGCCAUACAGGUCAGCUGUGAAAACUCGAGGCUCAACCUCGAGACGUCGGUUGAAACCGUAUGGCUAGAGUCCGGAAGAGGAGAGUGGAAUUCCCGGUGUAGCGGUGAAAUGCGCAGAGUAUCGGGAAGAACACCCGUGGCGAAGGCGGCUCUCUGGGACGGUACUGACGCUGAGACGCGAAAGCGUGGGGAGCGAACAG